rnacentral:rRNA from 1 species
CAGUAGCCACGGUAAUACGGAGGGUGCAAGCGUUAAUCGGAAUUACUGGGCGUAAAGCGCACGCAGGCGGUCUGACAAGUCAGAUGUGAAAUCCCCGGGCUUAACCUGGGAACUGCAUUUGAAACUGUCAGGCUGGAGUCUUGUAGAGGGGGGUGGAAUUCCAGGUGUAGCGGUGAAAUGCGUAGAGAUCUGGAGGAAUACCGGUGGCGAAGGCGGCCCCCUGGACAAAGACUGACGCUCAGGUGCGAAAGCGUGGGGAGCAAACAGGAUUAGAGACCCGAGUAGUCCCUGUCUCUUAUAC